CCUACGGGAGGCUGCAGUGGGGAAUAUUGGACAAUGGGCGAAAGCCUGAUCCAGCCAUGCCGCGUGUGUGAAGAAGGCCUUCGGGUUGUAAAGCACUUUCAGUGGGGAAGAAAGCCUUGGGGCUAAUACCCUCGAGGAAGGACAUCACCCACAGAAGAAGCACCGGCUAACUCCGUGCCAGCAGCCGCGGUAAUACGGAGGGUGCGAGCGUUAAUCGGAAUUACUGGGCGUAAAGCGCGCGUAGGCGGUCUGAUAAGCCGGUUGUGAAAGCCCCGGGCUCAACCUGGGAACGGCAUCCGGAACUGUCAGGCUAGAGUGCAGGAGAGGAAGGUAGAAUUCCCGGUGUAGAGGUGAAAUGCGUAGAGAUCGGGAGGAAUACCAGUGGCGAAGGCGGCCUUCUGGACUGACACUGACGCUGAGGUGCGAAAGCGUGGGUAGCAAACAGGAUUAGAUACCCUGGAGUC
rnacentral:rRNA from 1 species